UCUACAGGCUUAACACAUGCAAGUCGAGGGGCAGCAUGGUCUUAGCUUGCUAAGGCCGAUGGCGACCGGCGCACGGGUGAGUAACACGUAUCCAACCUGCCGUCUACUCUUGGACAGCCUUCUGAAAGGAAGAUUAAUACAAGAUGGCAUCAUGAGUCCGCAUGUUCACAUGAUUAAAGGUAUUCCGGUAGACGAUGGGGAUGCGUUCCAUUAGAUAGUAGGCGGGGUAACGGCCCACCUAGUCUUCGAUGGAUAGGGGUUCUGAGAGGAAGGUCCCCCACAUUGGAACUGAGACACGGUCCAAACUCCUACGGGAGGCAGCAGUGAGGAAUAUUGGUCAAUGGGCGAGAGCCUGAACCAGCCAAGUAGCGUGAAGGAUGACUGCCCUAUGGGUUGUAAACUUCUUUUAUAAAGGAAUAAAGUCGGGUAUGGAUACCCGUUUGCAUGUACUUUAUGAAUAAGGAUCGGCUAACUCCGUGCCAGCAGCCGCGGUAAUACGGAGGAUCCGAGCGUUAUCCGGAUUUAUUGGGUUUAAAGGGAGCGUAGAUGGAUGUUUAAGUCAGUUGUGAAAGUUUGCGGCUCAACCGUAAAAUUGCAGUUGAUACUGGAUAUCUUGAGUGCAGUUGAGGCAGGCGGAAUUCGUGGUGUAGCGGUGAAAUGCUUAGAUAUCACGAAGAACUCCGAUUGCGAAGGCAGCCUGCUAAGCUGCAACUGACAUUGAGGCUCGAAAGUGUGGGUAUCAAACAGGAUUAGAUACCCUGGUAGUCCACACGGUAAACGAUGAAUACUCGCUGUUUGCGAUAUACUGCAAGCGGCCAAGCGAAAGCGUUAAGUAUUCCACCUGGGGAGUACGCCGGCAACGGUGAAACUCAAAGGAAUUGACGGGGGCCCGCACAAGCGGAGGAACAUGUGGUUUAAUUCGAUGAUACGCGAGGAACCUUACCCGGGCUUAAAUUGCAGAUGAAUUACGGUGAAAGCCGUAAGCCGCAAGGCAUCUGUGAAGGUGCUGCAUGGUUGUCGUCAGCUCGUGCCGUGAGGUGUCGGCUUAAGUGCCAUAACGAGCGCAACCCUUGUUGUCAGUUACUAACAGGUUCCGCUGAGGACUCUGACAAGACUGCCAUCGUAAGAUGUGAGGAAGGUGGGGAUGACGUCAAAUCAGCACGGCCCUUACGUCCGGGGCUACACACGUGUUACAAUGGGGGGUACAGAGGGCCGCUACCACGCGAGUGGAUGCCAAUCCCCAAAACCUCUCUCAGUUCGGACUGGAGUCUGCAACCCGACUCCACGAAGCUGGAUUCGCUAGUAAUCGCGCAUCAGCCACGGCGCGGUGAAUGCGUUCCCGGGCCUUGUACACACCGCCCGUCAAGCCAUGGGAGCCGGGGGUACCUGAAGUGCGUAACCGCGAGGAGCGCCCUAGGGUAAAACUGGUGACUGGG
rnacentral:rRNA from 1 species